rnacentral:lncRNA from 1 species
CACGGUGACCGCCCCACUUACCCCACCUAGUCCACCAGCUCCACCUGCUCAGUGAAGGGAAAAGAGGUGCUGUGAUGGAGGCUCGUGGCAGAUGACAGGGUGCAGGGCAUGGUGGCACGAGUAGAGGUGAUCUCUCGGCAUGCUCAGUGCUGCAUGGCUUGUCACCCCUGCCAUGGUGGAGGUGGUGCUCCAAUACCUCUACGAAUAAGUGCAGGGCAAGGGUUCACUGCCGGAGGAUGCACACAGAUGAACAAGACGACACCCCAAGGAGAUCAUGAAAAGUCACUGUUUGAGGAACAGUUUAGUUUUCCACAUUGAAAGGUGGACAUCCGGAACAGAUUGGCAGUGACCAGGCAGCCAGAAGGAAGAAGAGGCAGUAGAUGAUCCAUUCAUGUUUCUCCUCACUCUUUCUCUCUCAGCAUUGAAUAUUGAUGCCUUCUGGUAGUGUUGUCUUUGCGAGAUAAGUAUGAGGACUGUACUCUGAAACAUACCUGAACUCUACCUCCACUAUUUUAAAAGGCUAUUGAUGAAGCUACAUGGGUUUCUAAGGGUGUUCAUGUGGUUCUACAUAUUUUAAAGAAAUAAUGUUGAUAACCUGCCAAAUUAUCUCCAUGGUCUAUUUCAAAAGGUUAUAGUUGAAGCUAUAUGGGUUUUUAAGCAUGUUUACAUGACCUUAGGUACAGAUUAACAAGAUUUUUAGAGUUUUGAAAAGAGUGUUAAUUACAAAGCAAAUCAUCUCUAUGGCCUUUGAAAAUGGUCAUGGUGAGAGAGCAAAGUUCACACAGAAAUAAGUAUGGCAGGUUACUUGGCUUAUGUAAUUGUACUUGACCUUCCUUCACAUUUCAACAGUCAUACCAUUCUCACUUUGGGAGACUUGUAAUGUUAGAAAAAAAGUAAUUUUUCUUUGACUUGAAAAAAUCUGAGGAUUUGCUUUCAUUAAUCUAGUCAUGAAUAUUUGGUUAACUCCUUCAGUACCAUGAUGUUUCCAUAUUCAUUCUGUUUACUAUUUGACCAUUUUAUACAGCUUUAGAAACUUGUGUGGGAGACUGAAAUAAUGAAGACUGUGGUCAUUAAUCUUCUGACCUCCUUAGAGUCUUCCUAAUGUCAAUAAAAUGGCCUUAUCGUACACAAAUAUCAAGAAUGGAGCUGAGCUAAUCAUCAUUCAUUUCAUGAAGAGGGCAAUUUUGGUACUUGGCACAGCAAACAGCAAGGUGAAGGUGAAAAGUACCUAGCACAACUGGACAGGAAAAUCUCAAUGGUUAUGACUCUAAAAGGAUAAGAAAACUUCAGUUCAAACUACAGCUUGAUUUGGUAACCCCCUUUAUAAUAUUUAGAAGCCACGUCCAGAUGAUCUGGUGUGUCAGUCCAGCAGCGCUGUUGCUGGCAAAUUCUGCCAGGCCUGUCCGUGAAUGGUGUCCAAAUGGUGUCCACAACAGAGUUGAUGAAUAGCCCCAGUGUUUGAUGCCAGUAGCUUGUGGUAUGUGUGUAUGGCCCGUAGCAUUUUGAAGAUGGUUUGUACACCUUGAUAAUUGUUUUUUGUUACUCUUUAUAGCAUUUCAGCUUCACACUUGUCCAUGAACAUUAAUUUUCAAGCUUACACUGAUUAAAAGUUUAUCAUUGUGCUAGUUGCUGCUUUAGACAAAAUUCAAUCAACGUUAGACAAAACAUGCAGGUGGCUUGCUUCAAUUAGCGUUUGUGCUUUAGCCAUUGACAUGGUGAAAUGUGAACCUCUAGUAGACAUGGGAUGUGGGAGGAAAUCUUGCUGUGGGUUCACUUAUUAACUUACUUCUAGCAGGGUCAUAGAUCCAGUUACUGGGCACGACCUUAAUAAUUUUGCAUUAUGGGUUUUUGGGCAUUUAACUGAAUAAGCACGAUGGGCACUUGGGGCAUUUAACUGUGUCAGCAGUCUAACAUGCCCAUUAAUGGGCAUGCCCACAGAUCAGGGUUGCUAGUCUGGAUGGGCCUUAAGAUUCACAUUAAAUUAGGCAGACUUCGUGCUAGCUAAAAAAACUAAAAUUUUGCAAAAAAACUGAUGGGCACGAAAACCAGGUUAUUUUUGCUGCCAGUUCUUUGAUUUUACAGUAUUCUUGCACUUCACAUUAGUUUGGAAAAAACUCACCUUUGGGUCCCCCCACUCCUUGCUUUUUCAUCA